AGAAAAAGCACAUUUCUAACUGCGAUUCAUUUUUGUGAAUUUUCUGCGCGACUUUUUAAAAGAAGUGUCUAAGUUACUUUCUCUUUCAUUGCUUAUGUAGUUUAAUGUGUUUUUAUGAAAGUGUGACAUUUCACGUUGACAUUCUAAAAUGUUUCUAUUAAGAAAAAUUGCAGACACAUUUGCUUCUUUUUAAUGGCUAUACAACUUAUGAAAAUGCACAUUCUAAAAUGAUUUCUAUUAUUAUGAAAUAUAGCCAACAUUUUUUAAAAUGGGCAAGAUACUUGUGAUCGCCAUGCUACGCAUAACGUUCGACUGUGAAAUGUAUCUCUUGUGACACGUGUCUUGAAUAAACUCCAGCAUAAC
rnacentral:sRNA from 1 species